AGAGAAUUGACUGAGUGGUUUAAAGUGCCGGCCUUGAGUUCUGGUAUGGGGUUUUCUCCAUCAUGGGUUCGAAUCCCAUAUUUUCUG
rfam:Colletotrichum gloeosporioides Cg-14 contig05673, whole genome shotgun sequence.